rnacentral:rRNA from 1 species
CUACGGGGCGCAGCAGUGAGGAAUAUUGCACAAUGGGGGGAACCCUGAUGCAGCAACGCCGCGUGGAGGAUGACGCAUUUCGGUGUGUAAACUCCUUUUAUAUGUCAAGAAAAUGACGGUAGCAUAUGAAUAAGCACCGGCUAACUCCGUGCCAGCAGCCGCGGUAAUACGGAGGGUGCAAGCGUUCGCGGAAUCACUGGGCGUAAAGGACGCGUAGGCGGGUUGGAAAGUCAGGUGUGAAAUCCUACAGCUUAACUGUAGAACUGCACUUGAAACUUCUAAUCUAGAGUAUGGGAGGGGGAGAUGGAAUUAGUGGUGUAGGGGUAAAAUCCGUAGAUAUCACUAGGAAUACCUAAAGCGAAGGCGAUCUCCUGGAACAUUACUGACGCUAAGGCGUGAAAGCGUGGGGAGCAAACAGGAUUAGAUACCCGGGUAGUC